UAUUCUUAAAUUGUAUCCACGGCAUAGCCAGACAUAUUGUAUUGAACAAUUAUUCCUUGCUAGCUAGGAAGCACGGAUACUCCAAAAUAGGUGUCGCGGCAGUAUUAGAUAUGAAUCAAAUACAGAAACGGCUCCAAUUGGCACCGAUACAUGUUCGAUAUAGGAAAUAAGUAUCAUCAUUGUUUUAAUGUUUUUUACGGACCGGAUACUUCCUGGAUACACUUGGAUACUUAUAGCACAUGCUCAAAUAUUUCCCAGAUACUCUUCGAUACUUUAAGGAUACAAAUACCUUCUGGAUACUCCUCGGAUACUUGAGGAAUACUUUUAGUGUUAGUAGUAGGUUAUCACAUCCAUGACAAGUGGGUUUUUAACCUAGGUUUCUAUAUGGGUCCAAUAAUAUAAAAGAAACAAUGAUUUGAUUUUAUUUGGUUCAUUUUUAAGUACUUAACUUUUGCUAAAUUCUUGAUUUUGCUGCCCCUAAUCUCAUUAAUUCUUCCCUAGGCUGCAUCUUUCUUUAAUUAUGUUGCUGGUUUUUAUGGCUGCUACAUACCUUUCCAAUAUAAUACAACUCAACUCAACUCAACUAAGCAUCAACCCCAAACUAGUUGGGAUUGGCUAUAUCAAUUCUUUUCCUCUCUUCUACUUUGUUCAAGGCCACACUUUAUGAAAGAUGCAAAGAUAUCAGAUCCUUUCUUACUACUUCAUCCCAUGUGAUUUUUACUCUACCUCUACCCCUCUGUUAUCAAAUUACUACAUUGUACUAGUGCAUCUCUCAUACUAUAUUGUACAUAUCCAAACCAUCUAAAUCGCCCUUCUCUCAAUUUGUCUUCAGCUAGUGCUACCUCAUAAUAGAAUAUAGAAUGUUUGAUGCAUUAUAUUAUAUGUUUGCUGUAGAUUUGUCUUUUUUGAUUAAAUGUUAAUAUUUUAAUGAUGGACAUGAAGGUGUAUUAUGUAUGGACUAUGCUCGUAUACUAUUAACCUAUUAAGCAUAAACCAUGCUGCUAUCGUAAUUUUGAAUAUUGUUAUAUAUGGUGUUCUUUGAUAAACUAAUCAUGCUUCUCGGAUGUUUUUAAGUAUAUAUAUAGGGAGGGGUUUUUCUGAGAGGAUCUUAAGCAUAUAUCUAAAAUUUAUUUAUUUGUUUCUGUAAUCUAGACGUGUCAUAUACAAUUUUUUCAAGAUUUUCCAUAUUGGCAUAUCCAUAUCGCGUCGUAUCCAUAUCUGUGCUUUCUUGUUAAAAGUUUUAGAAAGAAUUCUCGCGUACCAACAGAUGUUAUUCUAUAAAGAUUUUACGGGCUCUUAAAAUAUCCUUAAUAUCAUUUCUUUGAAUCAAAUAUAAUAUACGAUAGGAAUCUGCAUAUAGAUAUAUAAUUAAAAAAACGUCUUGCAGCAACUUGUAGAAUUAGUUUAUUAAGAAACCACAGCUUGGAAAAUGAAUACCUUUGGCAGGAGCUUGAGAUCCUAGCUCUGAAGCAUCCAAAGACUGCGAUUUAAUAUCAGUUAAAGAAGAAGAAUCCUGUGGAUUUACACCAGAACCCUGCAUAAAGAAACAAAAACUAUUUUAGGGGAAGCAUACGACCACCUAAGCAGGACAUUCGGCCCUUGGCUACCCUGAAUGUUCAAAUGUACAUUGGAAGCGUAUAUUUCCAAAGUUUGCUGCAGAUGACUAAAUGCAGAACCAGUUGCAUGCCCAUGCAAUGCUGGGGAUGCAGCCGCCAACUAGACCUUUCAUCUU
rnacentral:lncRNA from 1 species